GUAAGCUCUCUGAUGUCAGGGUCUGCUGAGCUUCUCGCAUGAUGCUCAAUGUUUGCUGAAAUGAAUUGAGUCUAUCCCAGGAAGGGGGAAAAGCUAAUAUGAAUACACAGAGGUGAGAGAUGGAAUGUACAGUGCAGAGAACAUCCGUGCGCCAGGUUUGGCUGGAAUGCAAAAUACAUGGAGAAGAGUAAUAUGGCAUCAGUUUGGAAAGCUGAAAUCUGUCUCCACGGCUUCUACCGGCUGCUGCUCGUUCUGCCCUCUGGAGCCAAGGUGAACAAGCAUAAUGCCUCCUCCAUGGGACAAUCCGGUCUCGUUCCCCACCGCCACCCCCACCCUCUGGGCUUCUCAAUUCCUUCCUCGAAUCCUUAUUUGCCGCGCUCUCUGUGACCUUCGCCAUCCUAGCUGCCUUCCUCUGUACCCUCUCCAGCUAAUGAAUGCUCUUUUGGGGUAUAUGGGUGUUCAGGAGGACUAGCACCUCUGGGGGGAGGGCUGCUCCUCCCCUUUGGCGUCCACCUGUCACCCAAUUCUCCCCUGUGGCAUGUGCAGCGGGACCCCCCCCCCCCCAGGUAAAACUGUCCUGACAGAAAGGCCAAACCAGGUUGAUGGGAAUCGGUGAGUUAGGAAGGUGUCUACCCCAAGAACGCGAAGACUUUCCAUGGCAAAUGGUCAGAUGAGAACAAGAUGUUCCAACAGCCUCGAAGGCGGCUAGAGCAGGCACUGUGGAGCACUUGGUCAGAUAUUUAAGACACCAAGGUCAUCCACUGCAUCCCAGGCCAUUGCCAGUGGUCUUGGCUUUUUUUUUUUUUUUUUUUGGUGAGGCAGUUGGGGUUAAGUGACUUGCCCAGGGUCACACAGCUAGUAAGUGUUAAGUGUCUGAGGCCAGAUUUGAACUCAGGUCCUCCUGACUCGGGCCGGUGCUCUAUCCGCUGCGCCACCUAGCUGCCCCAUGGUCUUGGCUUUGUCUUGCCACUGGGCUUGAAUGACUCUGGGAAAGAGAGUGAAGCUGAGGACAUGGUGCAACUCUGCACUCAAUCCAAUUUGUGCACAAAUUAUCACCCUGUGAUGUCAUUGGUCCUCUUCAAAAAUGAAGGACAAACAACAGCGAUCUUUUUAAAAUACGGCCCACCGCUCCAGAUGUAGUCUGCCCAGGGCAGAGUGCAGCAAGGCCAUUUUCCUGGAUAACAUGCCUCUCAAAAUGCAGCCUUGCAUCAAGUUAGCCUUGGGGACUGCCGCUCCACACAAGGGACUCAGAUUGAGCUUGUGGUCCACUAAGAGCCCCAGAUCUGUUCGUCUCCCCACCUUGCAGAAAGGGCAUUGAUUUUUGGAACCUCAGGACAACACUUUGGCUUCUCAGGAUAUUCAUGACUCCCGACUUUGUCAUCCCUUGGGUUAGAUAACCCUCCAAACUUUGUGUUAUCUGUGGAUUUGGUAGGACAGAAACUGAGGAAGAGCUGUGUUUAGACCAUGCUUAUCUACACACAAAAUUGUGUAUUUCAGAAGGAGGAGGGAUGGAUGACUGGUAUCCCUUAUAAUGAUUCACAAAGCAUUUGUCUCAAAACCACCUUGUAAAGGAGGUACUACAACUAUUCCAGGACAAUAGAAUGUAAACUCCUGGAGGGGCAGAUACUUUUAAUUUGUGCUGCUUAUUGGAUUACAUUGCAUUGGAUUGAAUGAAAGCCUUCAUUGCAUUCACUGGGGGACUCCACUGGAAAUCUCUUUCUACAUUCACCCAACGAUGACUGCUCUUUGGGUCCAUUCAUUGGACGUGUUCCAAAUCCACCUAGUCAGACCAGCCCCUAAGCAGAGGAUUAAACACCUGGGGACCACUCUCCACACACACACACACACCCUGCCCCCUUAGCCCUGAUGCAGAGGCAGCAUCCCUGGAGCUCCCCAAACCAGAUUAAAAUAUAAUUGGGAAAUAUUUAGUAAAAUAAAUAAAAAUACAGUAAAACA
rnacentral:lncRNA from 1 species